GGGCGGGUGACGGAAUUGGUAUACGUGUAUGCUUGAGGUGCAUAUGGUCGCAAGACUGUGCAGGUUCAAGUCCUGUCCCGCCCACCA
rnacentral:tRNA from 1 species